rnacentral:rRNA from 1 species
CAAUAGCGUAUAUUAAAGUUGUUGCAGUUAAAAAGCUCGUAGUUGGAUUUCUGGUGGGAGCGAUCGGUCUGGCGCUUAGCGCGAGUACUUGCAUCGUCUCCGGCCAUCCUUGGGGAGAGUCUGUCUGGCAUUAGGUUGUCGGGCAGAGGAUCCUCAUCGUUUACUGUGAAAAAAUUAGAGUGUUCAAAGCAGGCUUAUGCCGUUGAAUAUAUUAGCAUGGAAUAAUAAGAUAGGACUUUGGUACUAUUUUGUUGGUUUGCGCACCAAAGUAAUGAUUAAUAGGGACAGUUGGGGGUAUUCGUAUUCCGUUGUCAGAGGUGAAAUUCUUGGAUUUACGGAAGACGAACUACUGCGAAAGCAUUUACCAAGGAUGUUUNUAUUAA